rnacentral:rRNA from 1 species
AUUCCUACGGGAGGCAGCAGUGGGGAAAUUGGGCAAUGGGGGAGACCCUGACCCAGCAACGCCGCGUGAAGGAAGAAGGCCUUCGGGUUGUAAACUUCUUUUAGCAGGGACGAAGAACGUGACGGUACCUGCAGAAAAAGCAACGGCUAACUACGUGCCAGCAGCCGCGGUAAUAAU